GAUGAAGAACGUAGCGAAAUGCGAUAAGUAAUGUGAAUUGCAGAAUUCAGUGAAUCAUCGAAUCUUUGAACGCACAUUGCGCCCGCUGGUAUUCCGGCGGGCAUGCCUGUUCGAGCGUCAUUUCAACCCUCAAGCUCUCCGGAGUUUGGUGUUAGGGCGCCUGGGGCUUUUCGACCUCAGGGCCCUCAAGUCCAUCGGCGGGACCGCCAGGACACUGAGCGCAGUAGUAUUAUUUCGCUCGGUAGGAUCUUCCACGGCGGGUCGAUCUGGCCGCUAAACCCCCCAAUUCUCACCAAAGGUUGACCUCGGAUCAGGUAGGAAUACCCGCUGAACUUAAGCAUAUCAAUAAGCGGAGGA
rnacentral:misc_RNA from 1 species